rnacentral:tRNA from 1 species
GGGCGAGUGGCGGAAGGGAAGACGCACUGGACUUAAAAUCCAGUGGGCUACUAUGCCCGUGGGGGUUCGAAUCCCCCCUCGCCCACCA